rnacentral:lncRNA from 1 species
GAUCCCAGAUAAUGAUCCGAGGUAGUCGGUAACGCGCGCCGCGGCAAAGGCAGAGUGAAUUCCGACUUUGGAUCAGCCUCCCGAUUGUCGUGUAACCCGAUAAUCGAGGGCUUAAGUCGAACACCUAUCGCCUGGACAUGAGUCGAGCAUGUUCGUUGAGUCGAAAGUCGACCGACCUCUGGGCAUAACUCGAUGGCCGGAUCAUUUCAUAGGGUCAGAUAGUCAAAUGUCGUCUGAUGCGUUCAGUCGAAUGGCGUCCGACGCGUUU